CUUCCACAUCACCUCCAACCUCUCCCGUCUGACGCGGGGGCAGCCGUGCCCGGCGCUGGGCUCCGCCAGCCCCCCGCCACCCACCCACCACAGCGCCGGGGAGCCCGCGGCCCCCGAAAUCCCCACGGGGGAGGCGAAGGCGGCGGAGGAGACGCGGCUGUCGCUGGAGCUGCGCGCCUCCUUCGCCUUCCUGGACAGCCAGGACGCGGGGCUGGAGCACGGGGACGGGGACGGGGACGCGGUGGGACGGGUGCCACCCGGGGGCAGCAGCCUCGAGGACGGCGACGGGUUCCUGGCCCUCGAGGAGGGCAUGGAGGGCGGCUUCAUGAACCCCGGGGAGCCCCCCGCGGAGCAGCCAGGCAGUUACCUGUCCAUCGAGGAGUGCAUGGACGAGGAGCUCUUCUACAUGGCGCCCAGCGGCUCCGAGCCCGAGGACGCGGCGGGGGACAGCGACUCGGACAUGUUCCUCAGCGCCCACGACGAGCUCAGCCCGCUGGCGGCCGAGCCCCCCGCCGGGCCGGGGGGGGUGGGCACGGGCACGGCCUGGGGGCCGCCGAGCCCCCCGCUGCCGCGGGACACGUCCCCAUCGCCGGCGGGGGAAGAGGCUCCGGGUACUGGGGAGCACGGAGGAGCCCCCCCCAGGGAGGCGGAGGAGGGGGGGGCGUCAGGAUGGCCCCUGGAGGAAGAAGAGGAGGAGCAGGGUGGGGGCGGCGGGGAGGGGACCCCCAGUGGUGGCUGCAGCCCGGGGAGAACUGAGCUGAGCCCCCAAACGGGGCCGGGGGCCGAGGCAGGAGCGGAGCCGGCUCCCGGUGCCCCAGACGGGGAAGUGGAGGAGGACGGGGCCGGCGCUGAGCCCCCCGCACCAGAGCAGCUGGGGCAGGGGUCCCAUGCACCCCCCCCAGCCGAGGAGCCCCCCUCACAGCCCACCGAUCCCCCAAUCCCCGAGGCUCCCUCGGAGGCUCUGCCCCCGCCGGGAUCCAGCCCCGAGGAGGGCUCAAGCCCCCCCAUAGCCCCCACCCCACAGCUGGAGGCCGCUGGGGGGGCCCAUCCCACCCCCGGCAGGGCCGUGCUGCGCCGUGACGGCAGCGCCCCGGUGCGCCUGGCCGCCCGCCUGGUGCGGGUGCAGCAGGCCCGCUCUGUGCCCGUGGUGCCGCCCAAGCCGCAGUUCGCCAUCGUCCCCCCGGCCCUGCGGCCCAGGACCCUCCCGGCUGAGGGCCCCGACGCCGCCAGCCCCCCCCCAAAAAACCGGGACGGCUCCCGGGAGCCCCGUUGGGGAGGGGGCCGCGGGGCGGCGGGCGGGGUGGCGGGAGGGGGGCAGCAUCUCCUUGGACGGUGCCGGCGGUGCGGCGGCCGAGCGGCAGCCGGUGCGGAGGAUGCAGACGUACGGCGGCGAGGAGCAGGCGCCCGGUGCCGCCAAGGCGCUGCCGUUCCAGCGGGCCCCCCUGCGCCCCCGCCUGCUGCGGCCCCUCAGCUGCGUGGCCGCCCCCCAGGGCCCCCCUCAGCGCAGCCGCCCGGGCCCGGCGCAGGAGGAGGAGGCCGGGGAGGCCCGGGGCACCGCGAGGAGGCCGCUGGGCACCGAGGGGGCGGCGGGAGAG
rnacentral:lncRNA from 1 species